rnacentral:lncRNA from 1 species
AACCAAGACAUUCUCCCUUGUUUCUACAGUGAUACAUAGUAUUGAAAAUUGCUUUGACUGCACACUCAAAUUAUUACAAUUCAACUUUCUUCAACAUCAUAAAUUGAAAGGAUAUCAUGUGGAUCUUUGUUGUUCCCAAUUAGGAUUGAAAAUAACUUCUGGCCAAAUUAGUAGUGUAGAGACUUAUGGAAUGAAGUCAAUUUAAAACAGAAUUUUUUUGAGUUAAUGGUUCUCAAUGGCCCACUUCCUGACCACCACCCUCUGGAGUCCAAAGGAGAUUUGCUUAUUCCCAGUAUUAUUCCUGCAGGUCAGCCAAAGAGGAGCAAAGAGUCAUCUACCUCAAUCAUGUUCAGGAAAUGAUCAGGUCAAGAUGUGGAGUGAGCAAGCUUUUCUCUUUUGUGCCACAUUUUCUGACCCAGUAUUUCAAGCUACCCAAGGUGCGAAAAAGAAAGAAGGCCGAAGGGAAGAAGGUGGUGCUCACCCUUGCUGUCUUGAAAAAGCAGGAGACCAUGAAAGUGGUGAAUCUUCCAUUUGAGAAAUUUGGCACUGGACAGGACAUUUUGGCAUUGGACAGAACAUCCAGCCCAAAAGGGACCUCACUUACUUUGUCAAAUGGCCCCAUUAUACUAGGUUGCAGCAGCAGAGAGCCAUCCUCUAUAAACAGCUAGAAGUGCCUUCUGUGAUUAAUCAGUUCACCAGGGCCUUGGACCACCAAACAGCUGCUCAAUGGGUGGUUUUCUUUAAGGAGAGAUUUCACUCUGCAAGGAGCCAAUUGGCAGUGUUUGGAGAUGUUUUCUGUUGUCACAACUUGUGAAUGGAGUUACUACUAGCAUCGAAUUGGAGAGGCCAGGGAUGUUGCUAAACAUCCUGCAACAUACAAGGAAACAAGGUCAUCAGCUGGCAUUGAGAUUGAAGAAAAGUAUGUGAGGGGUGUGAAAUGAGGAAAGAAUCCAUAAGUUAAUCUUACAUAAGAGGAAGAAGGCAAUGGCUAACAAAAGAAAAAUGGGCUUGUUUGGCCGCAUUAAAGGCACAUUUGCUUUUCAAGGUUGUGGUUUUAAAGAGAUAACAAUCAGCACAAUUUGGUUAUGUGUUUUUCUCCCACUGCAGUUUGGGUAUAAAAGCAAUUCCAAAAUUGAUGGAGACAUGCAUGAAACUAAGGCUAUAGUUUUGCUAAGUCAGUCAUGUUUAGUAGAUAGAAAUUUAUUUGAUGACCAAGGAUGGCACAAAAUGUUUAAAAGACUGAAUAUGUGACAUAAUA